rnacentral:misc_RNA from 1 species
AAUCCAAUCCAGCCCGGCUGGGUGUUGGGCGAUCCGGGGGCCGUGUGGUCCCCGCGCCUCAAAGUCCGUGGCUGUUCGCACCCGAAUCUCAGCGUCGUGGAAUCGUCUCGCUGGUGAGAGGGGGGCCGUUCGGCCGUCGUCGAGACGAACGUUAUUUCUUCA